CACAACAAUUCAAUUACAAAUCCACCACAACAUAAUACAACCAUCUAGUUCAAGAAACAAAAACGUGUUAAAAUGAGAUUGGAAACCCUUUCUAAAAAUCGAGCUUGAUAUAUGCUUGGGUACCGAGCUUAAUGAGCCAAAAAGCUUCUUUUGUUUUGCUAGAAAGCUUGACGUAGAUGAUGAAAAUAAAAUUGAGUGAACCAAAAUGUAAGAACUUGAGCUGAAAAUUGACGUUCAAAGUUUUCAAAAGUUGAUGCUCU
rnacentral:lncRNA from 1 species